GGCAAAGGCGCUCUUGGGGUGCAUGCCUCUGAAUCUGGACCAGGCCAUGUGACUUCCUUUGGCCAACAGAGUGAGGUGGAAGCGCCCAUGUGCCAUUUCUGAGCCCAGGCCUCCUGACACCUUGCAUGUCUCCUUUUGUACUUGUGCUUCUGCCAUUGCCAUGAUCAAGACAUUGCCCAUGUUGGCCCCGUGGUCCCAGGAGGAAGAAAAGAGAUUCAUGAAGAGCCAAAUAGCCUGCCUUAUCAAAGGCCCACCAAAACUAGCACCCAGCUGACCUCGAAUAGGACCAGGAGCUGCUUGUAUAUCAACUUGAGACACAUGACCUUGUGACCCACUGUCCAUCUACCAGUCAACCCUUGCUUCCACUUAAAGACAUAUGCACCUUUUGAUUCAUCUGUGUACGUACGUGGGGC